rnacentral:rRNA from 1 species
UACGAAGGGUGCAAGCGUUACUCGGAAUUACUGGGCGUAAAGCGUGCGUAGGUGGUUUGUUAAGUCUGAUGUGAAAGCCCUGGGCUCAACCUGGGAACGGCAUUGGAAACUGGCUUACUAGAGUGCGGUAGAGGGGUGUGGAAUUCCCGGUGUAGCAGUGAAAUGCGUAGAUAUCGGGAGGAACAUCUGUGGCGAAGGCGACACCCUGGGCCUGCACUGACGCUCAUGCACGAAAGCGUGGGGAGCAAACAGG